rnacentral:rRNA from 1 species
AGCGAACGCUGGCGGCAGGCCUAACACAUGCAAGUCGAACGAACCUUUCGUGGUUAGUGGCGGACGGGUGAGGAACACGUGGGAACGUGCCUUUAGGUUCGGAAUAAUUCAGGUAAACUUGUGCUAAUACCGAAUGUGCCCUUCGGGGGAAAGAUUUAUCGCCUUUAGAGCGGCCCGCGUCUGAUUGGCUAAGUGGGUGGGGUAAUGGCCCACCAAGGCGACGAGCAGUAGCUGGUCUGAGAGGAUGAUCAGCCACAUUGGAAGUGAGACACGGCCCAGACUCCUACGAGAGGCAGCAGUGGGGAAUAUUGGACAAUGGGCGCAAGCCUGAUCCAGCCAUACCGCGUGGGUGAAGAAGGCCGUCGGGUGGUAAAGCCCUGUUGUUGGGAAAGAAAAGCAGCAGGUUAAUACCCCGCUGUUCUGACGGGACCCAAAGAAUAAGCACCGGCUAACUUCGUG